CAUACCAAUAUACACAAAAAGACCUAUAUCAUUGGAGCAGGGUGUUGGAACCUAGGCUGAACAGUUACUGAUCUUUUAAGUGAAAAAUAAGCUACUUCAGAUUUGACAGUUCUCCACUGUAUGUAAAGAAGAUCACCUGAUAUUAAAGUUGUUCCUGCUUUUAAAAUGCCAAAUAAAGCCCAAGAGGAUGCUGUGAUUAACCUGAAAUCAGUUCAAGAACUAGGCAAACAACUGGGCUUUGAAUGGACAAUUGUUGCUAAUGAACUCGGGUUCAGCAGAGCGGAAAUAAGUCAAUUCCACACAACUAGUCCUCAGAAGAAGGCUCAAGCGAGAAAGAUGCUGGAAUGCUGGUAUGAACGAUCUCAGAAUGAGGUGAACAAAACAAAGCUUCUUAGAAAUGCUCUGGAACGAGCUGGAAGGAGAGACCUGGCAGAUAAGCUCCACUGCCUCCACUGGGGCCAUCAGAAGUUAAGUAAAAGAGUGGAGCUCCCAUCAGCUUUCCCCUUUAUCAUUAUUAUACACAAAACUAUCAAUAACAAAGAAGGGCUGAAAAAGAUUAAUGAACUUAGUUGAAAUUAUUAACUAAAUACAUACGGAUAAUGUGAAAUGUAGUUGUCUUGGUUUUAAAUGACUCAAACUCACCACUCUAAAAAUAAUGUUAGUAUCAAGGAAAAUGCAUCCAUAUCAUUCCAUUACAAAAUCACUUGGCUUGCUUACUUCCAUGUAAUAAUCUAAUAUUUCAAUCAAAAUAAGCCAGGAAUGAUCUAGACAUUGAGUUGCCCCCCCAUCUAAUAUUUCAAUCCCCAGGAAUGAUCUAGACAUUGAGUUGCCCCCCCCCCAUCUAAUAUUUCAAUCCCCAGGAAUGAUCUAGACAUUGAGUUGCCCCCCCCCCCAUCUAAUAUUUCAAUCCCCAGGAAUGAUCUAGACAUUGAGUUGCCCCCCCCCCAUCUAAUAUUUCAAUCCCCAGGAAUGAUCUAGACAUUGAGUUGUUUUGUUUCAAUUACUGUCAGAGAGAUCAGAGGGAAUAUUUUACAAUAUAGUUUUUUUACACAGAAUUUACAAAUUUAAUUGAUUUUACAGUAUAGUUUUCAUAUUUAAUUAGUAAAAGGGACUGCUAUAGCCAGAUCCUGGUUUCUUAUUAUAAUCAAAUCCAAUAGAUCGUUGCAGAUAUCAGACCAUAAAUAUCUAGUAUCAACCUCAUUUCAGAGGUGUGCAUGCUCUGCUCAUAGAAGUUAUAUGUGCCCACAUAUGACUCUGUCUAGGUUCAAUGAGUAGAUGCCAACAGUCUCUUCCAUUGACUCUUUUCCAAAAGAGAGUUUGAUUUCUGCCAGGAGGGAAAGCAGGAGGUUGAAGCUGGCCGUUCUAAUCUCCUCAGAGAAAAGGUACUCAGCUAGAAUUCUAUCUAGCUGUCUCCCCUACUAUUAUUAAACUAGGGGAAAUCAUUUUUAGAUUCAAGCUGCACUCCUAAUGCUAUCCCCCUUAAUGGGGAAGGAGUGCCCCCAUGCUAUAUGUAUAGACAAGGCUUGACUCCCCAUAAAAUGCCAGUUUUACAAGGAACACAAGUAGAGAAUAGCAAAUAAACCCAUUUUCAAACAUAGCAAACAGAAAUCAGAGAAAGUAUAUGGAUGAAAAUAUGCCAGACAGUACACAGAGUGAACCAAUUCUACUGGGAGCAAAUUAAUUCAGCUCAACCUAGAGAAUAUCCCAGAUCUUAGGCAAGGAGAAAUUUCUUAAAAAUCUCUAGCUGGAGAGGAGGGCUCCUUUCCAUAGUGGUGUCUUCUCAAAGACUCUCCUUCAAGGAUCUUUCCCUGAAGAGAAUCUAAAACUGCUUGGCUUCCCUCUUAGAGCUUUAAGCAAAAACAAAAUCUCUCUCCUCUCUCUGCCUCUUGUCGACAUCAUAUCCUUCUCCCCUGCGCAGAAAACCCGGUAAUCGGGCUCCGUCCACGAGGAGAGUCUUAUGCCAAUGGGCAUUGACUGAGCUGAGGGUUACAGAUGGGCCUGCAGGGAAUAUGUGUAGCCAAGAUACACCUGGCCUUCUUAUCCAGCUGUCUUCACAGGGCUUGCCCUCCUGUCCACAGCAUCUCUCCAUGGCUUCUGAGAAGAACGCUGCAGAACUGCUGGAAAAACGACCACCUUUCUAGUAAAAGUCGCCGUGCCCAGCUGACCAGAGACAGGCAGAGUGCUUCCAGGCUCAGGUUCAGUGAUGUCUUCAUGCCCAGGAUAAAGACAAUGGUUCUUCCUAACUAUUUAAUUUAGGGCUAGACAUUCUAUCAAUUCUUUCUGUUUUAGCAUGCCCAUGGAAUGAAGCCAGAACAUAAAGUAAACUAAGGAGGUGCUUUCCAUUCAUUCAGCCCAAUUCCUGCCUUUGUUAUAAAUGUCCUGCAGGAACAAAACCCCCUUGCUUUGAUGCUGUUAUUUUAGCCAGAGAAAAACUCCACGAACCCCUACAUUAAUAAUGAUGACGAUGACGGUGAUCAUAUCAUGCUUUAAGGUUUACAAUGCAGUUUCCUCACUAGGAAAUGAAAGUUUCCGAGACAUUAAGUGAUUUGCUCAUUUUUUAUAACGAGUGCUAGAGUGAAUACACAUCUGUCUUUAAGAAUAUUAUUCUAGGGGUAGGUCAGUGAAUUGAGUGCCAGGCCUAGAGAUGGGAGUCUUGUAUUUAAAUCUGGCCUCAGACUUUCCAGCUGUGUGACCCUGGGCAAGUCACUUGACCCCCAUUGCCUAGCCCUUACCACUCUUCUGCCUUGGAGCCAAUACACAGUAUUGACUCCAAGAUGGAAGGUGAGGGUUAAAAAAAAAAAGAAUAUUAUUCUAUUAUACUGUGUAAAUGUGAAUUAUAUGGAGAAACUUUGGGGGGGGGGAAUCCAACUUUAAGAUGUAUUUUCUUAUGAAGACGUGAGAGGCAAAAUGUCAUAGUGGCUAGAGAACUGGCUGCAUGAGUCUGGACAAGCCUUUCCAUGUACUAGCCAGCUCUCUAAGACUAUUAUUAUAGGUUGCAAUAAAGGUCCCGGUUUAUAUUGAGAGAGGGCGUCUUCUCAUCCUAUACCAAUAAAAUCACAAGUCCAGUCCCUAUACUUAUCUCUUUCUUUAUAUUAGAGAAAGAACACGGAGCCCUCCAGCCAGGAAGACUUGAAUGCUCCUGACUGGUUCGUUUUGUCUCUGGACAGCCUGGAAAGUGGGUUGGUGUGCUCUCUCAAUCAGAAAUUCUAUUGAACUUUGAGGAACAGGUAGGUGGUGAAGUGGACAGAGUAGCCCCAGAGUGAAGAGGACCUGAGUGCAAAUUUGACCUUAUACACUUAACUAGCUACAUGAGCCUGGGCAAGUCACUGACUCCAUUUGCCUCAGUUUUCUUGUCUGUAAAAUGAGUUGGAAAAGGAAAUGGCAAACAACUCCAGUAUCUCUGCCAAGAAAAUCCCAAAUAGGGAUUGAACAUGACUAAUUGAGUAAACAAUUGGACUUCUAGAUAGGGCUUCUCUUAAUUGGAACUCUAUUAAAUUUUAUGAUUGGUGGUGGGAUGGAGCUGCUUUCUGGCUCAAAGUUCACAUUCCACAAAUCCUGACUUCCUCUAACUCUACAACUUUCUUUUGAUGGUCCCUUUGGGUAAGAUCAAUAAUUAUUUGUCUAAUGAAUCAGCUAAUCUACUAAUCAGAGAAAGGCCUUUUUGGUUCUUAAGGUAGGGAACAGGACCUUACUGCCAAAUUAAUACCUCAUUCUCUAUUAUUAUAUACUAAGAUUACAAAUUCUGAGCUGGGAGUGGGGGUGGGGUGGGAGGGUUUGGGGUAGGGAGAGAAAAUAACUAAAUUCUUCCUUUCUCAAGAAAUUUUCCUCAGUUUCUCCUCCCAAAAUUUAAAUCUCUGUCCUUCUUUACAAAUACAAACCAACACCUCCUCAAUGUCUACACCAUUUCCUCCUGAUUUUUUUAUUCAGCUCAAGUUGUCUCUUCUCUUCUUUCCCACAAAAGCUAAAAGUAGAGUAGUAAUUCCAGGCUGUCAACAGGUUGUUAGCUCUUCUUCCCAAUUUUGUGUCAUUUGCAAAUAUGAUAAACACAACCCAAUUAUCAACAAGUAUUUAUUAAGAUCCUACCAUGUGCACAAAGAAAAAGCAAAAAUUGUCCCUUGUGACAAAAAGCUUACAUUCGAAUUGAGGAGACACACAUGAAUUAUACACACACACACCCAUAUUAAUAUAUAGAUGAACAUACAACAUAUACACAAAGUAGACUUUAAAAGAAAGGAAGGACUGCUGAAGGCAUGAAAAGUUUUUUCUUUAUUAAAAUUUUUAUUUUAAUAACAAAUUUCCACAUAAAUUUUCCACAAUUAUAUGAUCCAUAUUGUCUCCUUCCCUUCUUCCCUCUCCACUCCCAGAGCUGACAAGCAAUUCAUUCUGGGCUAUCCAUAUAUUAUCACGCAAAAUAUAUUUCCAUCUUACUCAUUUUUGUAAGCAAAUAAUCUUAUAGAACCCCCCCCCCCUCCAAAUAUACCUAAAUAAACAAGUGAUGAGUCAUGUUUUCCUCUGCAUUCCUAUUCCAACAGUUCUUUCUCUGGAGGUGGAUAGCGUUCUUUUUCUUAAGUCCUCAGAAUUGUCCUGGAUCAUUGCAUUGCUGCUAGUAGCCAAGUCUAACACUUUAUAUAUCGUCACACAAUAUUGCAGUUCCUGUGUAUAAUGCUCUCCUGCUUCUGCUUAUUUCACUCUGUAUCAGUUCAUGGAGGUCUUUCCAGUUCUUUCUAAAAUCAUCCUGUUCAUCAUUUCUUACAGCACAAUAGUAUUCCAUCACCACCGUAUACCACAAUUUGUUCAGCCAUUCCCCAAUUGAGGGACAUUUUAGUUUCCAAUUCUUUGCCACCAUAAAAAGUGCAGCUACAAAUAUUUUUGUACAGACAGUCCUUUCCCAUGACUUUUUUUUUUCUUUUUGGGAUAAGAUCUAGUAGUGGUUUUACUGGAUCAAAGGGUAUGCAUUAUUUUAAAGCCUUUUGGGCACAAUUCCAAAUUGCCCUCCAGAAGGGUUGGAUCCAUUCACAACUCCAACAAAAAUGUAUUAGUAGAUACAGAAAUUUUGAAAGAAGCCAAGGAUUCUAAAAGGUGGACAAGAAGGCAGGGAAACCAUUCCAAACAUAAAGGCAGGCAGGGCAAAGGCACCAACGUGGGAGACAGAGGACUAUUUGUGAGGAAUAACAAAUAGGCCAGGGUGCCUGAACUACAGCAUGUAUGGAAAAGAGUCAUGUAUAAGAGGAACAGAAAAAAUAAGGGUCUAUUUUUAAAGAGAUUUAAAAGCAAAAUAGUGGUGCUUAUAUUUGAUACUAAAGACAACAGAGAACCACAGGGGUUUACAGAGUAAUAGAGUCUUGUCUUAAGGAAAAUUACUUUGCAGCACUGUGGAGUACCAAAUGGAGUGGGGAAAGAUUUGAAGCAAAGAAUGUUAGAAGGAUUAUUAAAAUGGCACAGAUAAGAGGUGAUGAGGCCCUAGAUGAAAGCAGGGGUUGAGUGUUAUUACCUGUAAAUAAAUUCUGUGAAAAAUUUGAAGCUUCACAGUUUGCCUAUAGUUUUUGUCCCCAGUUCUGGAACCAUGAUCAAAUAAACUCGGACAUGCCAUUUUAUGAAACAUCCAAAUUUACCCUUGUCCCGUGUGAACUUGCCUUCAAGAAACUCCCAGACUACCCAUGAAGUAUCUUGGAUAAGAGUAAUAGAAAUGCUUAAGGCUUAAGUACCCUUUUUGAUUCCUUGGUUUCUCUCUUUGUAUUUAGCACUUACUUAGAUACUUAAGCCUCUUACCCAAGCCCCUAUGUAACUGGUCAGUUGUCCUUAUUUUCCUACAUUUGCCAAAGUAUAUAUAAGACUCCAAAUUCUUUAGGUGGAUGGAAAUUCCAAUGAUGAAGAUUUCCAUUCAAGAUGCAUUUUCCCAGAGACAUUGUUCCCAGAGUCUCAGAGCCUAGCUUGGUAUGGUGGUACUGUUUGUGUGCGCAUGACUCGGUGUGAGGGUCAUAAAAACUCUUUCUCCCUUGUCCUAAUUAAAGACUUGUUCUUUUUAACUACUUCAGUUGUUCUGUGUUUUUUCCAGGUUGGUUGACAACUCUAUCACAGAUUCUAGAUAGAUUGUCAUUCUACAUUAUCCCCCACCCUAGUCUUACUUAUCUUCCCAGUAAUAUUCUGAAGCAAAGUGACCCGUCUUGGUCAUCACUACCUGACUGUUUUCUCCCCUAUUUUAGGAAGCAGGUUUCUUGAGGGCA